UCCCUGGUAGCUCAGAUGGUAAAGCAUCUGCCUGCAAUGCAGGAGACCUGAGUUCAAUCCCUGGGUUGGGAA
rnacentral:tRNA from 1 species